rnacentral:sRNA from 1 species
AUCCUGAAGGACACGCAGGUGACUCGACAGGCCUUAAAUGAGAUCUCGGCCCGGCACAGUGAGAUCCAGCAGCUUGAACGCAGUAUUCGUGAGCUGCACGACAUCUUCACUUUUCUGGCUACUGAAGUGGAGAUGCAGGGGGAGAUGAUCAAUCGGAUUGAGAAGAACAUCCUGAGCUCAGCGGACUACGUGGAACGCGGGCAAGAGCACGUCAAGACGGCCCUGGAGAACCAGAAGAAGGCGAGGAAGGUGAGCCUCCCAGGCCCGGCCACUGUCCCAGGCACCCUGUGUGUCUUCCCUGACCCCCUCCUCUCCCACAGAAGAAAGUCUUGAUUGCCAUCUGUGUGUCCAUCACCGUCGUCCUCCUAGCAGUCAUCAUUGGCAUCACAGUGGUUGGAUAAUGUCGCACAUUGUUGGUGAGAUGUUGUGGGCUGUCCCCUGGCCUGCCCCAGCCCUGGCCCCAGCCCUCCCUCCUCCCUCAGACCCUGUUCUCCCUCCUUUCCUUACAGGCACUAGGAGCACCAGGGACCCAGGGCCUGGCCUUCUGUCCCAGCAGCCUGGGGGGCAGGGCAGAGCCUCCAGUCGGACCCCUUCCUCACACUGGCCCCUA